GAGGGCUGUGAUGGCUGCUAAUUGAAAUUCAGAUUUUUUUUUUAUUUUUUUUUUUUUUUUAAAUAGAGAGACAUUCCAAAAAUGGCUGUAUGGUAUUUAGAGAUCUGGGUACCAGCUGCACUGUGCACAUAUUUGCAGAGUCUUCUGUUCACUUAAGAAUGGGCUGUGGACUCAGGUCUCAACCAGAUGAACCAGAUACUCUUCGAUCUUUGAGUCCUCUCAUGAUCUUGCAAGGAUACUGUAAAUCCACCUCCCAUCCCAUGGUCACUUCCAAACCAGGGCUGAACGUGCAGUGCGAAAAGGAGAGGACAGAAUGUUCUGGGAGACACACACAGGAUUUCCUCACCACUGCCCUUCAUCAGACUCUGCCAAGUCCCAAGGUCAGCCCCUAACAAUUUGUUUUCCCGGAUAUAAUUUUAGAAAGAACUUGAAGGAGAGAAACACUUCCUGCAACUUUCAUUUCUGGAAUUAAAUAAUUUUUGGAUCUCAUUUAUGGAACAACAAUUCUGCUUGCUAAGAGAUGAACACAGGGGAUUUAAGGGAAAGAACAGAGCUCCGAUCCUCUGUCCAGACACUCCUGCAACUGCUUCUGCUGUUCAUCUCCUUCACCCUGCACCAGCCACCCUGGGAAGGGCUGAAGACAUUGUAGGAAGAACCUGAAUAUAUUGUGCAAAGUAGCACAUCCUCCAGUUGCUCAAAGGGGCACAGGAAUGCCACAGUGCUGGAAUGACAUGGAUCUGUGGAAGGACCUCCUGGAAAGAAGUUGAAGGGGAGCAGAGAUAUCAGGCAGCCUGGAAGAUGAAAUACCAAGGAAUUUUGCAAGAGGAGAGCUUGGGCUGAGUGAGAUGCCUGGCAAGAGGAUGAAUUUGCUGGAAAUUCAAGAGAAGAUAUAUGCACAAUAUUUAGUUCUUUUGUGAUUUAAUCCAAAAUCGUUCCAUGUUUUCCAUUUUUCAGAAAGCCCUAGUUCUCAUGUCAUCUGAUUAUGUGAGGCUUUCCAUCUUCAACUAAAAAUAAUUCUGCUGGUUCCUCAGGUCAUGGAGAAAAGCUUUGCACAGAUAAUCCAGUUUGAAAGGCUGAAGCCCAGAGUGCAAACUGCAUCCCUUUGGGGUAAUACUGGUGGGUUUCCUAGUGGCAUUCACUGUAUUACUUUUUUAGAAGUCACCAAGAGCCAGUCAGGACUGCAACAUGUAUUUGGGUUUUUAGGCCAUGCAUUCUACCUCAAAUGCAGUAGAUCUGUGGGAGGAAGAUGGAACAGCCCAGAAAUGGCAUCAUUUUGACACAUGGAAGACAGUGAUUCAGUUACUUCACAGGUACAUGGACUACUGCAAAUACACAGCUCAUAAAAAUCUUGACAGUGUUUAGAGAAGCAGUUUGAUAGUGUCAGUCCCCUUA
rnacentral:lncRNA from 1 species